rnacentral:rRNA from 1 species
CCUACGGUGUGCAGCAGUGAGGAAUAUUGGUCAAUGGCCGAGAGUCUGAACCAGCCAAGUCGCGUGAGGGAAGACGGCCCUACGGGUUGUAAACCUCUUUUGUCGGGGAGCAAAGAGAGUCACGUGUGACUCAUUGAGAGUAUCCGAAGAAAAAGCAUCGGCUAACACUGUGCCAGCAGACGCGGUAAUACGGAGGAUGCGAGCGUUAUCCGGAUUUAUUGGGUUUAAAGGGUGCGCAGGCGGAGGUGCAAGUCAGCGGUAAAAUUGCGGGGCUCAACCCCGUACUGCGGUUGAAACUGCAUCCCUUGAGUGCGCGAGCAGUAUGCGGAAUGCGUGGUGUAGCGGUGAAAUGCAUAGAUAUCACGCAGAACGCCGAGUGCGAAGGCAGCAUACCGGCGCGCAACUGACGCUCAUGCACGAAAGCGUGGGUAUCGAACAGGAUUAGAUACCCGUGUAGUC